GCCUGGUUGGUCUAAUGGCAAGGCGCCCUGGGUGGUGGACAGCAGCACAGGGGAGACAGAGGUUCGAGUCCUCUACUAGGCA